rnacentral:snRNA from 1 species
GUAAUCUAGUAUUACUCAAUAAA